rnacentral:rRNA from 1 species
GACGAACGCUGGCGGCGUGCUUAACACAUGCAAGUCGAACGCUGAAGCCCUUUCGGGGGUGGAUGAGUGGCGAACGGGUGAGUAACACGUGGGUAAUCUGCCCUGUACUUCGGGAUAAGCCUUGGAAACGGGGUCUAAUACCGGAUAGGACCUGUCCUCGCAUGGGGGUGGGUGGAAAGUUCCGGCGGUAUGGGAUGAGCCCGCGGCCUAUCAGCUUGGGGGUGGGGUAGUGGCCUACCAAGGCGACGACGGGUAGCCGGCCUGAGAGGGUGACCGGUCACACUGGGACUGAGACGCGGCCCAGACUCCUACGGGAGGCAGCAGUGGGGAAUCUUGCGCAAUGGGCGAAAGCCUGACGCAGCAACGCCGCGUGGGGGAUGACGGCCUUCGGGUUGUAAACCUCUUUCGACAUCGACGAAGGGGCCCUGUUGUGGGGUUUUGACGGUAGGUGUAGAAGAAGCACCGGCUAACUACGUGCCAGCAGCCGCCGCCG